GAUGAACGCUGGCGGCGUGCCUAAUACAUGCAAGUCGUGCGGAAAGGCCACUUCGGUGGUACUCGAGCGGCGGACGGCAGAGUAACGCGUAGGAACAUACCCCAAACUGAGGGAUAACUGCUCGAAAGAGUAGCUAAUACCGCAUGUGAUCUCCGGAUUAAAGCUUCGGCGGUUUGGGAAUGGCCUGCGUCCGAUUAGCUUGUUGGUGAGGUAAUAGCUCACCAAGGCGACGAUCGGUAGCUGGUCUGAGAGGAUGAUCAGCCUGACUGGAACUGAGAACGGUCCAGACUCCUACGGGAGGCAGCAGUAGGGAAUUUUCCACAAUGGGCGAAAGCCUGAUGGAGCAACGCCGCGUGCAGGAUGAAUGCCUUCGGGUUGUAAACUGCUUUAUUAGUGAAGAAUAUGACGGUAACUAAUGAAUAAGGGUCGGCUAACUACGUGCCAGCAGCCGCGGAU
rnacentral:rRNA from 1 species